CAGCAGCCACGGGAAUACGUAGGGUGCGAGCGUUAAUCGGAAUUACUGGGCGUAAAGCGUGCGCAGGCGGUUCGUUAAGACAGAUGUGAAAUCCCCGGGCUUAACCUGGGAACUGCAUUUGUGACUGGCGAGCUAGAGUAUGGCAGAGGGGGGUAGAAUUCCACGUGUAGCAGUGAAAUGCGUAGAGAUGUGGAGGAAUACCGAUGGCGAAGGCAGCCCCCUGGGCCAAUACUGACGCUCAUGCACGAAAGCGUGGGGAGCAAACAGGAUUAGAUACCCGAGUAGUCCCUGUCCCUUAUAC
rnacentral:rRNA from 1 species